UGACAUAUCUUUUUCUAUCUUCUCGUUUUUUUUUUUUUUGUCAACAUUGUAUUUUAUUAUCCAUGAGUUAAAGAGUACACAGUACACAUAGUAUACAUCAAUCCAUACGUGUCCACCAUAUAAUACAAAAGAUACACGUGUUAAAAAAGAGGCAUGCAACUCAAUUCCCAAGCUUCACCGGCAAUCUUCUCCUUUCCGGCAGCUUUCUGACUAACCAGUCACCGGUCUAAGCUUUCUUCUCUUUCUCAACACCUUGAUUGAACUAUGGCUUGUACUCUUUUAACUCUCUCCUUCGCCAUAACCGCUACUAUAAGAUGAAACUCUAGCCAUCUCUGGUGAUUUAUCACAGGGAAGGACCCGAUCAGAUUUGAGGAGACCCUUUGUUGGACUAUCUUCAACGCUGGAAGGUACCAACUCUGCUGAAUCUCUCUAACAACGAUCAAAGUCAAACCAACAUCUUCAUCUCCCUUUUCAUCAGGGAUACUAACCCAAAGCCAAAGACAACUUCAAAAGGGUAAGAUUUAAACCCAUAGAAAAGAGAUCUGAAGUUAACCCAAGAGGUAGAGAUCUCAAGAUACAGCAUACGGGAUGAGAAUGAAUUACGAAGGAUGGAUUAAAAUCCGGACUUAGCCGGAAGAAGGAUUUUAUUUAGGUUCACCCAAGUUCGAGAAGGAUGGGACUGAUAAUCAGCUCUGAACUUAAUUGAACUUUUCACCCCAAAAUCGUCAACACGACAAAAGAAAUCGCCAACGCGAAUAGGAAAUCGCCAACGCGAAAUCGAUCAUAGAUAAAAGCUAUUCACAACCAAAAACAAAAGAAAAGGAUGGUAACCGGCGGCAAGAGCCACUGGCUACCGCUUUCUACUAUGAUUAAGAAACCUGUUUUAGAGAGAAGUUGGAGAGAACUCGGAAGAGAGAGAGAGAGAGGUUCUUAUUAAUGUAUUUAUCUUCUCGUUUAAUAAUUAUAUACAAUUAAAUAUUUUAUCCAGCUGGAAUAAAAUUGAUGUAUAUUAAUAUGUGGAUAUAAUGUGAAAUGAAGUUCACCAAUAUCUAUCAUAUAGUAUGGAUCGUACGGUUAAAAAGCCACAAUCAUAUGAAUUGCGUAGCUUUACACACAAAUCAUUUGCACGAUCGAUGUUUCAUCAGAAAGAAAGAAAAAGAUCAAAUUAUUUACUUAUUAAGCUUAUCCUGGAGUACUCCUCUUACUAGACAAACCAAUAUAUUAGAUAAUGCAUCUUUUAUAAUUUUUUUUUUUGAUCAAUCAUCUUUUAUAAUUUCUUAACAUAAUAUAUCUCAUCGUCAUUGUACCUAAUUUAUGAAACUUAUCUUCUCUCUCCCUAUGUGUAUAUGCAUGUCCCCUGAAAGAUCUCACGUCAUGUAUUUAUGAUUUAUCGUAAAUGUUUUAAAAGCAUUGUUCGUAAUCGUAACCCUGGAUGCUAUAUAUAUAUAUGUGUGCAAUCUUUUGAUAAAUUAAUGCUAUAUAGACAAUACAUAAAAACUGACAACAAAGUUUUUAUGCUUCGGCAUUUCACGCAGGCAGAUACAACUAUAGACUUCUAAAAGUCUCAGUUUAAUUAGUUAUAGUUUCUAAGCUAGAUAUAAAUUAUAAUCAAUGUAUAAUGAUAGGUUUAUGGUCUAAAAUCUGUUUGUGGGGAUCAACUAAGACCUGCACAACUUUUUCAUUAACUAUUUUCUACAAAACUACAGCCAAAAAAUGAUUUUUAAUCAUAAUUAAAAUGCAUAUUGUCUCCUAUGGGGUUUGAAGAGCCAAUCUGUUUGAAUACACCAAUUAAAAGUUGCAUUAGGUGAUUCCUUCACGUAAUUAACUCUAAUAGUCUAACCUGUUUGAACUUCCAAAGGCUAAUAACCAAGUUUUUAAAAAUAAAUUAUACUCGUUUUCCACAAUUAUGAUUUUAUCAUCCACAAUAAUAAUAUAUGCAUGGAUUUUUUCCUCAUAUACAUUAGCAUUAUCAUCUUUUGCAGUAAUUAACAAAAUAAACAUUGAUUAGUUCCGAACAAGCCAUGCUUGCCGUUCGCUUAUUUGCUUAGCUGAUAUUAUAGUGAUGCACUAAGUGAUAAGAGUAUAUAACAACUUGUAAAAAAGAAAGAUUAUAAGUAGGUUUGAUUAGUGAGACAGCUAUGAUAUUUGGAUAAACAUCAGUAUUUUUAUAUUUAUAACGUAUAAAUAACAGCUUCUCAAAAGAAAAAGUCUUUGAUUACGGAUUUUAGUUAACUACUCCUUCCGUUUUUCUUAUAUUUGACGUUUUAGAAAAAAUAAUUUGUUUGAAAUUAUUUGACGUUUUCAAUUUUUUAUGUAAAAUUUAUUAUUAAUUAAUGUUAGAUAAUUAAUAAUAUUCUAGUUUUUAUUUUAUUAUGGUUAGAUAGACAACUAAUGAUGUUUUUGGUUAGAAAAUUAAAUGUUUUUUUAAUUUAUAUGCACAAUCCUAAAGCAUCAAAUAUAAAAAAAAACAGAAGGAGUAAUAUUUAUUUCACGUAGCGGUUAUUUACGUCACAAUAAUCGAAGCAGAAUCUCGGCUAAUCUAGUCUCCAUACUCCCACUCAUGACGACGCGAGUAUAAUACUGUCUUCUCUUGAACUGCUAAGUUUUAUUCCAGAGAAACUCAAGUUGAAAGAAAGAUUUAUUAGAACUUUUAUUAAAUUGUUUAUAGUUUUUUCAAAAUACCAAGACCGGUUCUAAAAACACGACCAGCUUGAAGGCUUCCCGUCAAAACACCGACGCAUGCGAGGGUCAUAGAAGCCAGACGUGCGCAAGGUAGAACCUUUGUUUCUUGAACAAACUAUAAAAGGAAGAGAAUAAAAAACGGAUCUACCUGGUGCGCACAUCAGCGAGAGGUAGUGGAGACGUGACAACUGAAUAAAAACGAAUAACAAUUUCAAUUUUAGUUUAAUUAAAAUAAUAAUUUUCUGGAUAUUAAGAUUCGAAUCAUACAUAUUAAUUCGCUGCUAAAUCAAAAAAAAAAUAUUUGGUGCGGAAAACAGUUUGUUUUUUUUUUUUCAUUCAUUCUUUUUGCACUAAUCGGUACAAAAAUGUAUGUGAUAAAAUGGUACACUCCACAAAAGUAUUAAUACGUAGGAAAAAUAGCAUAACAUGUAAUAAUUUCUUUUACUCUAUGUAGCUGCGUUAUGCUUAAAGACAAAAACCACCGUGAGAAUACACACACAAAAAAAACUAAACGAUGCAUAAAUAGUAAUUAUUAAUAUAUCUUUCUGACGAUGGAAGUUUUCAAAUAGCUACGUCAAAUGUCUCAUUUAAGUUGUCGUGUUCUCUCGUGAUUCCUUUUCUUCUUCUUCUUCUUCUUCUUCUUCUUCAAGAUGAGUUUUUGAGAUAGAAGGAAGAGCUUUUAGAAUCCAUUGGUGUCCAACUUCGUACUUCUUGGCUUUACGUCCGGUCUUGUCGCUAAAGCCUUCUUUCUUUCCUUCAUGGUUUUGGCCACAUAAGUUGGCCUUCUCCAAGCCACCGCCUUGACGCAAGAACCCAUCAGAAGGUUUGGAUUUAGAUCUCUGUUCUUGAGUUUGCUUUCUCCGUAGACAAAGCAAGAGAGUGAGUGAAAAGUCAGAGAUUUCACGGCGUCGUUUAUGAAUCAAACCCUUCCACUUUGACUUUACUCCUGUUUUGUUAUCACUUAAAAAGUCUAAAAACAUUUUUGUUUUUAUAUUAUUGGUUUCUUAUUUUCUUUUUGUUUCCCAUUUUCUCUCUUGAUCGAUUGUAUAAACUUGGUGAAGUACUUCAACAUGUUUUCUGUGGGUUGCUUGGAGUUGAAGCUGUUAAUGAUUCGAAUAUUGCUGAGAGUUAUGUUGUAUUACAAAAGUUUCAAUCUAUAUCCUUUGUCAAAAAAAAAGUUUCAAUCUAUAUCAACUUCUAGAACAUGUGUGCUUGACUUCAUGAUUGUUGGCUAUCUUCUUUUGAUUUCACCUUUUAACCAUAGUUGCGUACAAGAAUUUAACUGUUAAUCUUGUUAAGUUGGUCCACCUUUAGUGCUGAACAUAAAGUGACAUUCUCAAUAAGUGCAAACUUGACUUCUGAAGCGUUUUUUCUUUCUUUCUUUCUUUCUGAUUAACGCAUGAUCUUAUCUAUUAACACCCUUCAAACACUAUUGAGGAUAAGGUUCUUUGGCAAAGUUAUAGUACUUUGUUAUUAUCAAUGGAGGUCAUGGAUUAUAGUAGGAGGACGAGGGAUUGGGUGAUAGAACAGUUGGUUAAAAGCUCUUAACCUUUAUCUUAUUUUAGCUGAUCAUUACAAGACAUUUUUCACUUAUGAUCUCUUUUGGUUUUCUCCAAGGUCUUUGGGAAUUUUCAUGAACUCUCAGAUUUCUUUCUUUGUAUAAAAUCUUUUUGAGUAUGGAAAGGUGGGUUUGUUAUUUUCUCCUGUUUUAGGAAUCAAAACCAAGAACUAUUACAACUUUUACUAUUUUCUUUGACUCUUUAUGAUCUAUCUUUUUUUGUGGUUAAGACCUAAUACCCAUCUUUUCUGAUUGGCUCUUUGGAAUUCGUGAUUUGUUUGGUUUAUAUGCUUUCACACAUUGUCCUAAUAAGCUUUGUAUUCUUCUUAAAAUUUGCAGUUGAGGGAAGUAUGAAUUCAACAUCAACACACUUUGUGCCACCAAGAAGAGUUGGUAUAUACGAGCCUCUCCAUCAAUUUGGUAUGUGGGGAGAAACUUUCAAGCACAAUAUUGGCAAUGGGGGAGAUAUGAACACUCCUAGCCACAUUAUUAUACCGAAUAAUCAAAAACUAGACAACAACAACUUGGUAAUCAUCUUUCUUUCCUUGUUCUUUUAAUCUCUUAAAUUCAUAAUCCUAAAUGCUUUCAUUCCAUGAAACCACUUCUUUGUAGUCAGAGGAUACUUCACAAGGAACAGGAGGAACUCCACACAUGUUUGAUCAAGAAGCUUCCACGUCCAAACAUCCUGAUAAGGUAAUUGCUAAUGACUAUUGUUUUUAUCAGUUUUAUUUAACGUGGAUCGUAUGGACUGAUCACAUUAUUUACUCCCUUAGAACUUAAUCUUUUGUUACAGAUACAAAGACGGCUUGCACAAAACCGCGAGGCUGCUAGGAAGAGUCGCUUGCGCAAGAAGGUAUGCAAAAACUUAUCACAUUAUUUAUUCCCUUAGAACAUAAUCUUUUUUUUUAUUUAUUCAUUGGGAGAUUCUGUGUGCAGGCUUAUGUUCAGCAGCUAGAAACAAGCCGGUUAAAAUUAAUACAUUUAGAGCAAGAACUCGACCGUGCUAGACAACAGGUUUAACGAGAGCAAAAUCAAAAUAUUCAGUUUCUUUCCUUUUCAAAAACAUAUCGCAAAAUUCUCAUAGAAAAAUUGGAUAUAAUCUCAGGGUUUCUACGUUGGAAAUGGCAUAGAUACUAACUCUCUCAGUUUCUCGGAACCCAUGAAUCCAGGUUUGUAAAAAAAAACAGACUGUAUUGUAGUCUUUCUUGUGUGACAAGGAUCAAAACUUAAACAUCAAGAAUAAUGCAGGGAUUGCUGCGUUUGAGAUGGAGUAUGGACACUGGAUUCAAGAACAAAACAAACAGAUAUGCGAACUAAGGACUGUUUUGCAAGGGCAAGUUAGCGAUGUUGAGCUUCGUUUGCUAGUUGAAAACGGCAUGAAACAUUACUUUGAUCUUUUCCGGAUGAAGUCAGCAGCUGCGAAAGCAGAUGUUUUCUUUGUCAUGUCAGGGAUGUGGAGAACUUCUGCAGAACGGUUCUUCCUAUGGAUAGGCGGGUUUCGACCCUCGGAUCUUCUCAAGGUAAAACGCACAGUGUUAAAUUUUAUGAAAUUCCAACUUAAAACCAAUUGGAGAUAAAUGGAUUGACUAUAAAAUGUUUGACGUGGAAACUUAUAUUCUCAUACAUCGACUAUAAAAUGUUCUUGAGUCCAUUAUAAAGAUUUUCUUGAUUAUUUGCAGGUUCUUUUGCCACAUUUUGAUGUCAUGACGGAUCAACAGAUACUAGAUGUAUGCAACUUAAGACAAUCAUGUCAACAAGCUGAAGACGCUUUGUCACAAGGUAUGGAGAAGUUACAACACACGCUUGCGGAUUGCGUUGCAGGUGGAAGACUUGGUGAAGGAAGUUACAUUCCUCAGGUGAAUUCUGCGAUGGAGAGAUUAGAAGCUUUGGUCAGUUUUGUAAAUCAGGUACAAAUCAUACCAGUAAUCUUUUGUUGGUUUUAAGACGGUUAGUAUCAGUUUUGUUGAGUUGUUUUGCAUUGUUUCUCUAGGCUGAUCACUUGAGACACGAGACAUUGCAACAAAUGCGUAGGAUCUUGACCACAAGACAAGCGGCUCGAGGGUUAUUGGCUCUUGGUGAGUAUUUUCAGCGGCUUAGAGCCUUGAGUUCGAGUUGGGCAACUAGACACCGUGAACUAACAUAGAUUUUGAGUUUUUGGAAACAAUUGAACAAGAAAAAGACCACCAAGAAGAAUCAAGAAUGAAGAUGUGUGCAUCUUUAAAACAGAGGAUUGAUUACUCGGAACAAAUGGGUGUUACUGCCGGUAAUUAAUUUUUAUUUCUGCGGUGGAAUCAGGGAAUUUGAGAAAUAUAUUGAUAAAGCUGUAAAUAUCAGAAGAGGGAGCUGAGUGCAACGAUUUUUACUUUGUAGCUUUUAUAGAGAAGUUUUUCUGAUGUUUGUUUGAAUAUAUAGAACUUGGUUCCUGAUAGAUAAUAUAAUACAUUAGUGUAUGUGUGUGUUCGAGUUAUUAACUAUCAUCUUGAGUAUUUUGAAAAUAUAGAACAUUCAAACUAACGGUCUUCAUCUUGAUUAUGUACGAUCACACUAUCAUUAAUAAACAUGUUAAGAGUUAAAAAAAAAAAAGAACAUUCAAGCAAAUUAUAAAAUAAUAUAAAAAUUCACGUAUAAUAUUUUCUCACAUCACACUAAAGUAUAUUUGUAUUAUACUAAACCUAUUUACAUUAUAUUUAAUUUUUCUUAUACAUUUUGUCAUUAAACCAACAAUAAUUGUAUUACUUGAGAUUAGAGACACAACCUUUUUAUUUAAUCAAACAAACUGGAUUAAGAGGAUUUCUACUUUAAAACUUUUCUAAACUAGAAACUAUAGGUAAUGUUUUUUUUGUAUAAACUAUCUGCAAUUUAGAUACUAUUGGGAAACUUUCGUAAUUAAUGAUAAAUACAGGGGCAACGGAGAGAUAUAAGAGAAGCCUCGUCCCGACAGUUUGAUUCGUUAUCUUCUCAGAACUCGCGAGUGAAGUCUUCUUCUUCCGACAAUGCUUAGCCUCUCUAUCACCUCACCAGGGACAGCGGCGACUUUCCUCAGAGGAGCUAGCUCGGCGACUUCAACCUCGUCUUCGUUCCAUGGCGUCAGAAUCCGGCACGAGGUCUCCGCUCGCGUGCCGGCGGCGACGGUUUCAUCGUCGUCUGGUAAAACAAUGGUGGUGAUGAUGUCGAAAAGAGAGGCGGAGCUGAAAGAUAUAAGGGGGAAGACGACGGAGGAGCUGAACGAGGAGGUGAUUGACCUUAAAGGAGAGCUCUUCAUGCUCCGUCUCCAGAAAUCGGCGAGGAACGAGUUCAAGUCUAGCGACUUUCGCCGCAUGAAGAAACAAGUAAGCCUUCUUUCUUCUUUGUUGAAAUUUUAAUAUUUUUUAUUUAUACAAAUUUGGAGGCUUUUCUAUUUUCUUUAUGUAAAUUUUCUUCAAAAAAAAAAAAAAAUUAUUAGAGACCAAUGAGUCUUGAGCUUGUUGCAAUAUCUUGUGUAGUUAUUUAAGUGGCAAUUAAUUCACCAAGCUAAAGGUAUGUUAUUUAGGCUGUACUUUUCUCUUUUUUUUGUGGUACUUAAGAGAUGUAUGUUAUUUUUGGUUGUGAUGUGAUUAAUUUAGGUGGCGAGGAUACUGACGGUGAGAAGAGAGAGGGAGAUAGAGGAAGGGAUAGGGAAGAGGUUGUCUAGGAAGCUUGACAGGCAGUGGAAGAAGAGCAUUGUAGUCAGACCACCUCCUUCUCUCAAGAAGCUUCAAGAGGAGGAAGCUGCUGAAGAGGCAGCUGAAGCUGCCAAAUCGGCCUGAAAACCCCAGCCAUUUGAUUGUUCGGUCUCUUCUUCUUGUUUCCUUGGGAUGUUACUAUCUGCUAAUGUUGCUUUACUUCUUCUUUUGUUUUGUAAACUUCCCUCAUUAAGUUUAAUGGUUUUUGCUGAGAGAAUUGGUUACCAAUCUGACGGAGGAACGAGUAUUAUUAGCUCCUUACAACUUGAGAUGUAGCAAAAAGAAUGUUGAUCUAGGUUCUCUCUUGUGUUACAAUAUAAAAAGCAAAAAAAUUGGGGCGAGAGAGGCUCGAACUCUCGACCUCAGGAUCACUCAGUAGCUAUGAGACCUACGCGCUAGCCAACUGCGCCACCGCCCCUUUGAGAUUCUCUGGCUACUUUAUUUUAUAAACCAAUUCUCAGUCGACAAGGCCAUACAAAUGCCUGAGACUUGUGUUUUGUGAAAGAAGAAUGUGGUGUCUGAAACUUCUCAGAUCAUAAGAAAAAAAAAAACUCUUAUUAGAGGGAAACAUUACAUUAAUCCAAAACAAGUGGACUACACAAACCCACCAACAAUAAUGACAAUACAGCAAACCAAAGUGAUUUAUCAAUAUCUGGUGUUCUUCGCUCUUGUCUUCAAGACUCCAGGAAAAACUUGUCAACACCAAAACCUUUCACAUCUUCAUUCACUGUUUUUUUUGUGUGCUUGCAUUAUGUCUGGUCUAUUGAAAGAGUAUAUGUUUGGAUGUUGAGGGUUCCUCUGCUUUGUUGUAUUUCCCUUCAUUAGUCACUUGCUUGUUUGCUACUAGUACUCUCAAACAUCUUCCCGUUCUUUGCAAUUGUUAGGAUAAGCUCCAGCUGCUUGCGCUGUUGAUCCUAUAAACCAAUUAACCACAGCUUUCUCAUAAGCUCAAAGGAAACUAGCACGGUCCUCUUCAGUUCAGGCAUGACAGAAUCUUAAAAGACGAUUCUUUUGAAUAAUAAUAGAUGUGUACCUGCAUAGCGAGCAGAACCUUUUGAAUCUCGCCAAGCUCCUUCUCUAGAAUCUCUUGUUGUGCAGCUAAUACUCUUGUAGCUUCAGAGUUCUUUUGAGCCAAAGCUGCAGUCUUUGCACAAAAACAGACCAAACUCUUUCAGAUACAUACAAACACCCAAAAGAAGAACUACACUUGACGUAAAGACAAGCUACAUUGACCAUUCAGACAAGGUCCAUAUUCAAGUGAAGCAAAAGCUUUUACCUCAGAAAUGGGCUGCUUGAGAGCUUUCCGGGUGACUCGAAACCGGAUCCCCAGUUUCUCCAGAUGCCUUGACAAAACUCUAACAACGGUGGUCGACGUUUUCAGCUCCUCUUCAAGCUUCUCCAACCUUCGAAUCAGGUUCGUCCCUUCGCCGUCACUCAUUCCUCUGCAAAUCCUCAUCCAUUGCCGCCGUCUAAGCCAAGAACCAGACGCGACCGAACCCAACAGCCCGACAAAACCCAAACACAAAACCUUCCUCCCGAUUUCGCCAACCACCAAGUAGUUCACCGCGAGAACCACCGAGACCACGGCGGAGGAUACAAUACAAAGCACCUCCGCGACAGAAACAAAGCUGCUGACAUCGAAACCAUCGGAAGAAGAGGAGGAGCUGUCUUCGUACGAUUCGGUAGAAGACGCGUGAGCUCUACAAUCUGAUUGGUGACGUGGAGUGGUGACGUGGCGGAGGAGGAGGAUAGGUUGAGGGAACUGUUUAGCAUUCCGGUGAGAAGUCCGUACAGCAAAGCAGAGGCUGUUGCUUCUGCUGAUGCGGACAGGAUUCGAACCAGGUAAGAAAGCGUAUCGACAAGGAAGCGAUAAGGACAUUAUCGUAAUGUCUUCUCGGAUCUCUCCGACAAGUGAACUCAAACUCAAACUCGAGUCACUGUAAGAAAUGUCUAGCGAGGACUUUAAAACUGCGUCGUAUAGACUUACAAUGUAUAUGCUUUAACGGUGACACCAAAUUAACUUCUUCUCCCUUUGUCAGUGAUUUCAACAAAUAUUAAAACCCAACCACAUAAUGUAACACAUAACAAUAUGAAACUUGUAAAACCAGCCAAGAUUCGAAAAAGUUUACAUGCGAAGUUGUUAAAACAAAGAGAGCAGAGAAGUCACUGAAAGCUCAAACAAUGGAAUGAUAUAAGACAUGUUCAAACCAUGUAAGGUUUUUUUUAUUGGUAUGGCAUGUAACGCAUUGGUCUUCUGAACCUUGGAACUUUCCUGCAUAAAGAUUAAGAAAGGAACCAACAGGAAAAUUAAGAAAGAGAAGAAAACUGUGAGAAAAUAUACAAUGUGUAUUGGUGUUAAACGAACUCUUACCCAUAGCCAUAAGGAGAAUACAUGUACGGAGACAUGAAAGGUCUGCGGAAGCCCAUGUACGGGUUGAACCUUCUACCACGGUGCUGUUUCAAUCCGGGAACGUUUGUUCUCUUAGGCAACACCUGCAAAUUAAAUUUCAAACCCAGAUGAGAAGACAAUGGAAUCAUUGUGAAAGUGUUAUAGCAAGAAGCUUUUGUGUAGUAGUACCUUUAACUGACGACCAUGUAACUCUGAUUCAUUCAGUAGUAGAGCCUCUUGUAUAGCUUCAGCUUCCACAAACUCGACGUAGGCAAACCCCUUUGGCUGCCCGAACUUGUCUGUCAGAAUCGUCACCCGGUGGACAGUGCCGCAUGAUUGGAAGUGUUGCUGCACUUCUUCAGGUGUACAUGCGUAAUCAACCUGCACAGAUAGCAGAUAUGUGCCUCUUUUUUCCUUUUUUUUUUUUUUUGCUCUAAAACGUAUUCUUUUUCUUUGUUUUUUUUUUCUUUAUAUUUUUUUUCUUUUGCACUUUUUUUUUGUUUUUUUCAAUCAUUUUUUGCUCUAAUACGCAGAUUUUUUAACUUAGAAAAAAACAAAAUGUAGAGACCCCACUAGAACUUCUGAUAUGAGAUUAAUCCUGCGAUUGUAGUUAGUGAGAAGAGUCAUAACUCAUAAGAAAAGCAAAACUCAUAACCUCAUGUUCUUAAGUUAUAUGAAGAAUGCAUCUCCUUUAUUAAAUCCCUCAGUCACUUAACAACGAAACUCCCUCAAGAAACUACAUUUUAAGAUAUAUUCAACACUCUCAUCAGUCACUAAUAUUCAUGGUUAACUACAGAUAUAUUCAACCACUAGAGUUGAUAGCAUGCCAUGUAGAGAACAUAAUCAGAUUAUAGACUCACAAUUAAACUAAUAAUACCUCUAAAGCUCUUCUUUUAAUCAACUGAGCCUAGUCAUCAACGCCCAAUUCAAAAGCCUAGGUGCAAAUCAACCAAAGAAGCAUAUACUUACAUUGCCAACGAAAACAGAUCGAGCAUCGACCUCCUCCUUGCCUGCUUGAUCUGCUGCCAUAGUAGCAGGAUCUGCAAAAAAACAAAAAUUGAAUUUAACAAAAGAAGUUGAUCUACUGCAGCUAACGAAUCAGAAACAAACCUUGAGGACCCAUAUCCUUCUCGACCUUGGCCUGCAUCUCGCGAAGAGCAGCAGCUUCGUCCUCAAUCUCUUUCAAUCGUUUCUUCAUCUCAUCCAACUCCUAAUUAUAAAUACCAAAUCAAAUCAAAUCAAAUCAAUCGAUCAGUAAUAGCGAGCGAGCGAGAGAGAGAGACCUUAGCGGCAUCGUCAUCAGCUGCAGUCAUCAUGUCCAUGUCUCCAUCCAUCUCUCCGACGUCGGGGAUUUCUCCGCCGUAUACCUCGUGCUCCUCUUCCUCCAUCGCCUCUCUCUCUCUCUCUCUCUCCCCGUCAG
rnacentral:lncRNA from 1 species